rnacentral:rRNA from 1 species
UCGAGAAUUUUCCACAAUGGGCGAAAGCCUGAUGGAGCGACACCGCGUGCAGGAAGAAGUCCUUCGGGAUGUAAACUGCUUUUAUGGGGGAGGAAAUUAUUGACGUUACCCCAAGAAUAAGAGGUUGCUAAGCUCGUGCCAGCAGCAGCGGUAAUACGAGUGCCUCAAGCGUUAUCCGGAAUUAUUGGGCGUAAAGGGUGCGUAGGUGGCUAUGUUAGUCUUCUGUUAAAUCUCCUGGCUUAACCAGGAAUCUGCAGAGGAAACGGCAUAGCUUGAGGAUGCGAGAGGUAUAUGGAACUCUAGGUGUAGCGGUGAAAUGCGUUGAUAUCUAGGGGAACGCCAAAUGCGAAGGCAGUAUACUGGAGCAUUCCUGACACUGAGGCACGAAAGCGUGGGUAGCGAAUGGG